CACAAUGACUCUCGGCAACGGAUAUCUCGGCUCUUGCAUCGAUGAAGAACGUAGCGAAAUGCGAUACUUGGUGUGAAUUGCAGAAUCCCGUGAACCAUCGAGUCUUUGAACGCAAGUUGCGCCCGAAGCCAUUAGGUCGAGGGCACGUCUGCCUGGGCGUCACA
rnacentral:rRNA from 2 species